CCUACGGGCGGCAGCAGUGAGGAAUAUUGGUCAAUGGGCGUAAGCCUGAACCAGCCAAGUCGCGUGAGGGAUGAAGGCUCUAUGGAUCGUAAACCUCUUUUAUAAGGGAAUAAAGUGUGGGACGUAUACUGCUUUGUAUGUACCUUAUGAAUAAGGAUCGGCUAACUCCGUGCCAGCAGCCGCGGUAAUACGGAGGAUCCGAGCGUUAUCCGGAUUUAUUGGGUUUAAAGGGUGCGUAAGCGGCCUUUUAAGUCAGCGGUGAAAGUCUGUGGCUCAACCAUAGAAUUGCCGUUGAAACUGGCAGGCUUGAGUAUGUUAGAGGCAGGCGGAAUGCGUGGUGUAGCGGUGAAAUGCUUAGAUAUCACGCAGAACCCCGAUUGCGAAGGCAGCCUGCCAAGCCAUGACUGACGCUGAUGCACGAAAGCGUGGGGAUCAAACAGGAUUAGAUACCCCGGUAGUC
rnacentral:rRNA from 1 species